AUUGAACGCUGGCGGCAGGCUUAACACAUGCAAGUCGAACGAGUGGCGGACGGGUGAGUAAUGCUUGGGAAUCUAGCUAAUGGAGGCGGAUAACUACGGGAAACUGUAGCUAAUACCGCGUACCAUAGGAUGAGCCCAAGUGGGAUUAGGUAGUUGGUGAGGUAAAGGCUCACCAAGCCGACGAGCCCUAGCUGGUCUGAGAGGAUGAUCGGCCACACUGGGACUGAGACACGGCCCAGACUCCUACGGGAGGCAGCAGUGGGGAAUAUUGCACAAUGGGCGAAAGCCUGAUGCAGCAAUGCCGCGUGUAUGAAGAAGGCCUUAGGGUUGUAAAGUACUUUCAGCGGGGAGGCGUUACCCGCACAAGAAGCACCGGCUAACUCCGUGCCAGCAGCCGCGGUAAUAC
rnacentral:rRNA from 1 species